rnacentral:misc_RNA from 1 species
AAAGUCGUAACAAGGUUUCCGUAGGUGAACCUGCGGAAGGAUCAUUAUUGAAAUCCUUUAGAUGUUGCUGGCCUCUUGGGGCAUGUGCACUCUGCCUUUUCAUCUCACCUGUGAACUCAUUGUAGGCCAGAUUUGUAAAAACAAAUCUGUGUCUAUGUUAUUUUACACACACAACAAGUCUAUCAGAAUGUCUUUCAAAGACCCUUUUAGUGGUCAAAAAAAAUUAAUACAACUUUCAACAAUGGAUCUCUUGGUUCUC